rnacentral:rRNA from 1 species
CGUUGUUCGGAAUCACUGGGCUUAAAGGGCGCGUCGGCGGGCCUGCCAGUCUGUGGUGAAAGCCCCCAGCUCAACUGGGGAAGUGCCGUGGAUACUGCCGGCCUGGAGGAGGGUAGGGGCAUCUGGAACGCUGGGUGGAGCGGUGAAAUGCGUUGAUAUCCAGCGGAACUCCGGUGGCGAAGGCGAGGUGCUGGACCCUUUCUGACGCUGAGUGCGCGAAAGCCAGGGGAGCAAACGGG